UUUCCAUACCCAUUUUUUUUCCUUUCUUCCCACUGCCGGCACCACUGAUGCGACACCACCGCCGGCCCCACUCCGGCCGGCCACCCCCUCUUCCCCUUCUUUCUUUAUCUCAUUCACUUUCCUUCUCUCUCCUUUUCUAUUCAUCUCUCUCACCCAUGGAAAACCAUCACCCCACCACCCAUUCUCCCUCGCACACCACAUUUCAUUUAUGGCCACUGUAUCUUCGUGCCCACUACUGCUCCAUUGCAUCUUCUUCCAUGGGUUCUUCAAUUUUAGCCACAGGUAAAUGGUGCUUGCUGUGAGUGUCAAAGUGGGACCCCGACACUACCCGAUCACCCCACCACCUAACCUGCCUAUCAGCACCUUGCCACCCUUCUUCCCACGUAUAACAAAGAAGGGAAUUGACCCACUACAGAUCUAUAAUUUUCCAGGAAAACACAUUUAUGCAAACGAGAUGCUGAAACAUAAAAACACUUCAAAUCAUGGGUGACUGACUGCUACACUUACUGGGCUUCAAUAUUGGCUUCUAAAUCUUGGGUUUCUGAACUCGGCCCAUCUUGUUGGGGAUACGGUUCAUUCAUGACUUCCACAGCUGCGCUAAUGAAAACAUCGUAAACCUGAUUGAUGGGGAUGACAGCCUGUAGCGAACGAAGAGCAUGGUCUACAAUCCGAGCAGCGGGGUAGAAGGAUAGCAGUAGGAGAACAGAAUAAACAUACCAGAAGAGUGGCUGCGGGAAAAUCAGUGAAGCCAUAAAUGAGAGAGCGGGGGGUUUCCAAACCGCAGACGUAAGUGGAGUGUGUGGAAUGAACAAGUGAAGAGAGUGAGGGGGACUUCAAUGGAGACGAAGGAAAAGGCAGCUAGAAUGAGGAGAAAGCAAAAGAGGUUGGUCCAAGUGAUCAGAUCCCAACUUAUCCCUCCUGUUUGGGAUUUCGCCAUGUUUAUCAGGACUAUGAUGCAGAACCUCAAAUCGAAGUAGCGCAUGGCGCAUUUGGUUCAUAAACAUGGCGAAAUCCCAAAUAGGAGGGAUAAGUUGGGAUCUGAUCACUUGGACCAACCUCUUUUGCUUUCUCCUCAUUCUAGCUGCCUUUUCCUGUUUGUAUGUGUUUGUGGAAAAUUAUAGGACUGUGGUGGGUCUGUUAGUAUGUGUUUUUGUGGAAAAUUAUAGGACUGUGAUGGGUCCGUUCCCAUCUUUUUUUAGAGGCUCUUUACGUGAUUGUCUCACUAUUCAUAUUUAUAACAUUUGAAGCGCUUUUAAAGUUUGAGGUACUUCGAUGAUA